rnacentral:rRNA from 1 species
GGGCGCAAGCCUGAUCCAGCAAUGCCGCGUGCAGGAUGAAGGCCUUCGGGUUGUAAACUGCUUUUGUACGGAACGAAAAGCCCUGGGUUAAUACCCUGGGGUCAUGACGGUACCGUAAGAAUAAGCACCGGCUAACUACGUGCCAGCAGCCGCGGUAAUACGUAGGGUGCGAGCGUUAAUCGGAAUUACUGGGCGUAAAGCGUGCGCAGGCGGUUUUGUAAGACAGAGGUGAAAUCCCCGGGCUCAACCUGGGAACUGCCUUUGUGACUGCAAGGCUAGAGUACGGCAGAGGGGGAUGGAAUUCCGCGUGUAGCAGUGAAAUGCGUAGAUAUGCGGAGGAACACCGAUGGCGAAGGCAAUCCCCUGGGCCUGUACUGACGCUCAUGCACGAAAGCGUGGGGAGCAAACAGGAUUAGAUACCCUGGUAGUCCACGCCCUAAACGAUGUCAACUGGUUGUUGGGUCUUAACUGACUCAGUAACGAAGCUAACGCGUGAAGUUGACCGCCUGGGGAGUACGG